rnacentral:piRNA from 1 species
UACGGGCCUAACAAACGCCUA